rnacentral:rRNA from 1 species
GAUGAACGCUAGCGGGAGGCCUAAUACAUGCAAGUCGAGCGGUAGAGUGACUUCGGUUGCUUGAGAGCGGCGAACGGGUGAGUAACGCGUACACAAUCUACCUUUAAGAGGGGAAUAGCCCUGGGAAACUGGGAUUAAUGCCCCAUGGCAUCACGAGACGGCAUCGUUUUGUGAUUAAAGCUGAGGUGCUUAGAGAUGAGUGUGCGUCUGAUUAGCUAGUUGGUGCGGUAACGGCGCACCAAGGCGACGAUCAGUAGGGGGCGUGAGAGCGUGGACCCCCACACGGGUACUGAGACACGGACCCGACUCCUACGGGAGGCAGCAGUAAGGAAUAUUGGUCAAUGGAGGAAACUCUGAACCAGCCAUCCCGCGUGCAGGAAGAAUGCCCUAUGGGUUGUAAACUGCUUUUAUCUGGGAAGAAAAGUCGGGAUUUAUCCUGAUCUGACGGUACCAGAGGAAUAAGCACCGGCUAACUCCGUGCCAGCAGCCGCGGUUAAAG